rnacentral:rRNA from 1 species
AUAGCGUAUAUUAAAGUUGUUGCAGUUAAAAAGCUCGUAGUUGAACUUUGGGCUUGGACGGGUGGUCCGCCUUCUUGGCGUCGUACUGUCUGGCUGGGCCUUUCCUCUUGGUGAAUCGGCGUGCCCUUAGUUGGGUGCGUCGGGGAACCAGGACGUUUACCUUGAGAAAAUUAGAGUGUUCAAAGCAGGCGUUUCGCCCGAAUACAUUAGCAUGGAAUAAUGAAAUAGGACGUGCGGUUCUAUUUUGUUGGUUUCUAGAGUCGCCGUAAUGAUUAAUAGGGAUAGUUGGGGGCAUUGGUAUUGAGUCGCUAGAGGUGAAAUUCUUGGAUUGACUCAAGACCAACUAUUG